rnacentral:tRNA from 1 species
ACCUGGGUGGCUCAGUUGGUUGAGCGUCCGACUUCGGCUCAGGUCACGAUCUCACAGUUUGUGGGUUCAAGCCCCGCAUCAGGCU